rnacentral:rRNA from 1 species
UACGUAGGGUGCAAGCGUUGUCCGGAAUUAUUGGGCGUAAAGAGCUCGUAGGCGGCUUGUCGCGUCGGCUGUGAAAACCUGGGGCUCAACCCCGGGCCUGCAGCCGAUACGGGCAAGCUAGAAUUCGGUAGGGGAGACUGGAAUUCCUGGUGUAGCGGUGAAAUGCGCAGAUAUCAGGAGGAACACCGGUGGCGAAGGCGGGUCUCUGGGCAAUAACUGACGCUGAGGAGCGAAAGCGUGGGGAGCGAACAGGAUAGACUACCGAGUAGUC